rnacentral:rRNA from 1 species
CUUGUUGCUUCGGCGAGCCUGCCUUUUGGCUGCCGGGGGACGUCAGUCCCCGGGUCCGUGCUCGCCGGAGACACCUUAGAACUCUGUCUGAAGAUUGUAGUCUGAGAUUAAAUAUAAAUUAUUUAAAACUUUCAACAACGGAUCUCUUGGUUCCGGCAUCGAUGAAGAACGCAGCGAAAUGCGAUACGUAAUGUGAAUUGCAGAAUUCAGUGAAUCAUCGAGUCUUUGAACGCACAUUGCGCCCUCUGGUAUUCCGGAGGGCAUGCCUGUCCGAGCGUCAUUGCUGCCCUCAAGCACGGCUUGUGUGUUGGGCCCCGUCCUCCUUCCGGGGGACGGGUCCGAAAGGCAGCGGCGGCACCGCGUCCGGUCCUCAAGCGUAUGGGGCUUUGUCACUCGCUUUGUAGGCCUGGCCGGCGCUUGCCGAUCAACCAAACUUUUUAUCAGGUUGACCUCGGAUCAGGUAGGGAUACCCGCUGAACUUAAGCAUAU